rnacentral:rRNA from 1 species
GACGAACGCUGGCGGCGUGCUUAACACAUGCAAGUCGAACGGAAAGGCCCUGCUUUGGUUGGGGGCUCGAGGGGCGAACGGGUGAGUAACACGGGAGUAACCUGCCCUGGACUUGGGGAUAACGCCAGGAAACUGGGACUAAUACCGGAUAGGAGCUGCGGCAGCAUGGUGGGGGUAGGAAAGUUUCGGCGGUUGGGGAUGGACUCGCGGCUUAUGAGCUUGUGAGUGGGGUAGUGGCUUACCAAGGCUUUGACGGGUAGCCGGCCUGAGAGGUUGACCGGCCACCAUGGGACUGAGAUACGGCGCAGACGGCUACGGGAGGCAGCAGUGGGGAAUAUUGCACAGUGAGCGGAAGCCUGAUGCAGCAGCGUCGCGUUCGGGAUGACGGCCUUCGAGUUGUAAACCGCUUUCGCCUGUGACGCAGCGUGAGUGACGGUAAUUGGUAAAGAAGCACCGGCUAACUACGUG